GACGAACGCUGGCGGCGCGCCUAACACAUGCAAGUCGAACGAGCGAGAGAGAGCUUGCUUUCUCGAGCGAGUGGCGAACGGGUGAGUAACGCGUGAGGAACCUGCCUCAAAGAGGGGGACAACAGUUGGAAACGACUGCUAAUACCGCAUAAGCCCACGACCCGGCAUCGGGUUGAGGAAAAAGGAGCAAUCCGCUUUGAGAUGGCCUCGCGUCCGAUUAGCUGGUUGGUGAGGUAACGGCCCACCAAGGCGACGAUCGGUAGCCGACCUGAGAGGGUGAUCGGCCACAUUGGAACUGAGAGACGGUCCAA
rnacentral:rRNA from 1 species